ACGGCUCAGUAACACGUGGCUAACCUGCCCUUGGGACAGGGAUAACCCCGGGAAACUGGGGCUAAUACUUGAUAGGUGAGAACUCCUGGAAUGGAUUCUCGCUCAAAGGACGUUUAGACCAUGCUUCUAGGCGUCGCCCAAGGAGGGGGCCGCGACCGAUCAGGUUGUUGGUGAGGUAACGGCCCACCAAGCCUUUAACCGGUACGGGCCGUGAGAGCGGAAGCCCGGAGAUGGGCACUGAGACAAGGGCCCAGGCCCUACGGGGCGCAGCAGUCGCGAAAACUCCGCAAUACGCGAAAGUGUGACGGGGCUAUCCCGAGUGCCAUCCGCUGAGGAUGGCUUUUCCCCAGUGUAUAAAGCUGGGGGAAUAAGGAGAGGGCAAGCCUGGUGUCAGCCGCCGCGGUAAUACCAGCUCUCCGAGUGGUGGGGAUGUUUAUUGGGCCUAAAGCAUUCGUAGCCUGCUUGGCAAGUCCUCCGUUAAAUCCAACGAUUCAAUCGUUGGGCUGCGGGGGAUACUGUCCAGCUAGGGGGCGGGAGAGGCCGACGGUAUCCCCGGGGUAGGGGUGAAAUCCUAUAAUCCCGGGAGGACCACCAGUGGCGAAGGCUGUCGGCUAGAACGCGCUCGGCGGUGAGGGAUGAAAGCUGGGGGAGCGAACCGGAUUAGAUACCCGGGUAGUCCCAGCUGUAAACGAUGCAGGCUAGGUGUUGGCGCGGCUACGUGCCGCUCCAGUGCCGCAGGGAAGCCGUUAAGCCUGCCGCCUGGGAAGUACGGCCGCAAGGCUGAAACUUAAAGGAAUUGGCGGGGGAGCACCACAAGGUGUGAAGCUUGCGGUUUAAUUGGAGUCAACGCCGGG
rnacentral:rRNA from 1 species